rnacentral:rRNA from 1 species
AUACGGAGGGUGCAAGCGUUAUUCGGAAUCACUGGGCGUAAAGGACGCGUAGGCGGGUUGGCAAGUCAGAUGUGAAAUCCUACAGCUUAACUGUAGAACUGCAUUUGAAACUGCUAACCUAGAGUAUGGGAGGGGGAGAUGGAAUUAGUGGUGUAGGGGUAAAAUCCGUAGAUAUCUCUAGGAAUACUGAAAGCAAAGGCGAUCUCCUGGAACAUAACUGACGCUAAGGCGUGAAAGCGUGGGGAGCAAACAGGAUUAGAUACCCUAGUAGUCC